ACCACCUUUGUAGCUCCAUCAGUUCUUAUAGGUCGAAGGGCGGCAUUCACAUUUAUGUUCUUAUCAAACAGGGAAAUAAGUUUUAAGUAAUUUGGUUCUUCAUCGAAUUUCAUAUUGGUCACCAACUCAAGAAACUGUUGAAAAGGAGGCGGACAUGAGACACAUAGCAUCUCAGGAGAAGUUGCCAUCUUCUUCUUGCAAACAAGAAAUCCUUUGUUUUCCCCCUACAGCCCAAGAUCCAUGUCAAGUGCUUAUAAAAUAAGGAAGAAAAAAUAGAACUGUUUAAUUGACUAGGAAUACAGUGGGACGCCCAAAUAAACUUACAUUGUAACCUUGCCAGGGAAGUUUGCCUCUAAGGAGAAAUAUAAGGGUAUAAGCUAAUGACUCAAGGUCAUCCCUUCGGCUCCCUGUCCUGCCUAGAUGAGCAUGUACACUUGCAUAACGAACAGUUCCCCUAUCAAAAGAUCAGAUACAUCAGGAUACUUCAAAUCAUGAGGACAAAAUUGGGUCUAAAGAUCGUAUUAUAAUUGUCCUCAUAUUGAAAUGGUUAUUAGUACAAGGAUGAUAUGCACAUUUGAUAUAUACUUUCUGAGAUGGAUUGUUAGACUGCAUAUCAUUUGUUUCUCACAAUACUUGAGGGCCAAAGUAACUUUUCUCUCCCUCUCCCCCUCUAACCAUCUUGAUCAUCCAAUGUGUAAUAUUGAAGGUUGUAAGUACCUGAAAACAUCAGGUUUUUGAUCAUAAUCGACAUGACGUCCAGAUGUUUCCUUCCAUUUUGAAGCUGUCAAAAAGCAUAUUAAACCAGUCACAAGUCUGUCCAACAUUUCUAUGGAAUGAAAUACAUAAGCACAUUCAAUUAUAGUUUGAUCUUUUAUCCUUGUUACUAAAUUUAUUAAACAGAGAACUCAUACCCAAACCAAGAUCAACAAGAUAUAACUUCUUAUCAUUGACUGUUCCAGGUUGACCAAGCAAAAAGUUUUCUGGCUUCACGUCUCCAUGCACAAAACUACAGUGCAAAUUACUUAUCAUGAGCCACAUUAAUGUAGAACAAAAAUUAAUAACAAAGCAGAAAGUAAAUAGUUGAAAAUACCCUUUGAUAUGAAGCUGCUCUAAUAUUGAGAUUGCCUCCACUGCUAUACAAGCAACCAUCUCUUCAGACAGCCUUAGUACCGGCAAACACAAGAGGAGAUAACAAUGAUAUAACUAAUGCAUAAACUUGGAAUGUAAAUUACUUUUAAGUAUCGACUCUGAAACUCAGAACACAGAAAUAACAGAAGCUACUUACAACUGAUUCCGGUUCCAAACAUCCCAUAAACUGGGGCCUAGCAUAUCCAUGACCUAUUGCAACAUUUAAGAGUUAUUGUUCAUGAAAAGAAAUAUAUGACACUAUUUUCAACAUAUGAAACACAUGCCUCAGAAGGUGAGUGCCGAUAGAAAAGUAACUCACCAGGAUAUAGUAAUCUCCCUGCUGACCUUUGUAAUGAACGUGGGGAACUCCGUAACAUCCAUUAAGAGAGCUUCAGGGUCAUGAAAGACUGAUUAGGAAACAAAGAUUAGAGUGUUUUACCAAAUAAAAGGAUGAAACAUUUCUUACCUGUAUACUUGCCACUCAUAAGGAGGACCAUGACUGCACCCCUUACUGUUUCGACCCUCAAGCUUUAAAGCAACCUACAACCGAAUACAGAUAUACCGUUAGUGCCAGAAUCAAAUUAAUCUGAGAUUUUAACGAGAUAAAACAGAGAUGCAGUACAAAUGUGAGACCUCAAAUGCCUCAGGCCCAGAGCUCCCAUAUCCUCCAGUCACCCUUCUUCCUACAUAAACUUGUCCAAAACCCCCUUUCCCCAGCUUUCUAUCUAGCUUGUACAAGGGGGAGUUUCCAAUCUGUACCUGGAGAUGAAAAUAUUGAAUCAUGUUUAGUAACCAGUUUUGGUUAUUUAGUAACCAGUUUUGGUUAUACUACGGGAUAGAUCCAAGCAGAGAGGUGCCAAGCAGAGAGUUGACAAAAAUUACUCUUUCGGGAAGUGGACUACUGCUCCCUUCAUCCUCAAUAGCAGUCAAUUUUUGUGCACCUUUCUGAUCUAUCAAUUCAUCAGGAACAGCCACCAAAUCUCUUUUUGGCAAAUCCAAACCUGCAUGCCCUUGGCCACCAACUCCAGCACCAAACAGCUUGGGAUUUUUACCUUGAUUCAUGGCUCUAGACCCUCUUCCCCUACCUCUACCAGUCAACCCUGCAUUGGGACACAGAAUCAUUGAGGUAAAUGCAUUAUUCAUAGGUUACUAUAAGAAUACAAUGACGGAGCUAUUACCUUUUCCUGGACCAGCCCGUGCAGCUGGAACUACAACCGCAGGAGUAUCCUGGACAUUAUUGAUCCUCUUUGACCGGCGAACUCCACUUCUUAAAUCUGGCAUUCUAUUUCAUGCAAAUAAUCUCUACCUUUCUUCUCCAAUCCCAAACACUGUUGAAAAAUUAUAGGCUAGGACUCCAACCUGAGAAGUUGACAAAACAAAAAAGUUAACUUCUGAUCAGUAUUCAGUCUGUUCUUAACUUCAGAUGCUCAGCCCAAAAGUUUACUUGAGCAUCCAUAUGUAAGAGAUAAUGUCCUCACUGGAACAUAAAGUCUUGUCAUCUGCAGUAAGUGUAAACAGAGUUGAUUGCAGAUUUCCAAGACAAAAGAACAUAGACAGACAAAAGUAACAACCAUUUCUAACCUAUAAAUCAAAACCUUUAAGCAUACUCAUUUAUCAUUAUCAAUGCAUAACACCCCCAUAGCAGCAUUACAAUACAGACGACAUAUUUCAAUCGAUUCAGGAGUGCUGCAUUGCAAGUUGAUUCCCACAUACACACCAUAUACAUUCAAAACUAAACUCAAUCCAACUGUAGCUACCCUAGCAUCCAUGAUCAAAUCCCCUUCAUUUCCAAAAUCCGCAACAUUACGAUUGUGAGUUGUUGCAAAAACCCGAUUACCCAUUAGUUCAAAGCUAAAUCAAACACUCACAAAUCCUCAAAUUUCAAACAUCCAUCCAAACACAACCAACUAAAACUCACCACUGCAUACCAACACAUAAUCAUCAGCCCAAAGAACAGAUUUUUAACCCAGAAUCACCUCAAACACAAACAUUAAGCUCAUUCAAUCCAACUCAUCAUUCAGAUGAUCCCAAAAACCAUGCAAACCACACCAAAACUGAACCAACAAACAAAAACAAUACCCACAAACAGAUUCAAACAACCCGAUUGAGCAGGACAAUCACAGACCCAGAAAAGCCACAUAAAAAACAAUUUUGAUGGUAAUGGUUUUGCAGAUGAUAACAGAAAACAAAGAGAUGAGCUUUGCAUCAAAAACAUACCCGAUGAUGAAAAAGGCGAUGAAUUUGAGGACCCAAAAGGAUGAAGAAUCAAAGAGAGAAUGGGGAUGGAACUGAAUGGGAGGCUGUCAAUGAAUUUGACGGUGGGUGACUUAGAGAGACAGGUUGGGUCUGAGAAUGUGUUUUGUAAGAAGAGAAGAAGAAGAAAGGUGUGUGUAUCAUCUCGGCAAAAUGGAAAGACGGUGUGAGCGAACCUAGUGCGUACGAUAACAUGAAGGCUGACGUGGGGAUUUUUCAUUGGUUAGGUAGGGGACUUAUGGUGGAGGUAUGGUAUGGGAUCUUGGCUGUUUGAGUUUGGGCCAUUUGUUCCAUUUGUUUCAGGUGCUAAUGACCAAGGUCAACUAUGUAUGUGUUUGUUUUGUUCUUUUUCCUAAUAGUGAAACUUAGACACCAAGAGAACAGGCCUUGACUAUAAGUCUAUAACCCAAGAAAGAAAAAUCAAGCCCACAACUUAUAUUAGUAAUGACACUUCAUUUUUGUUUUUUUACUUUAAGUUUCUUUCAAAGUCCCUAUGUGUUUUUAGUUUCUUUUUCACUUGUAUUAGUUUGUAAUUUUAUUGUAUUCAGAUGAUCCCAUCAUGUAACAAAUGUACAAUUAGGGGGGAAGUACAUGAGUGAAUGUCAAUAUGAUUGAUAUUUUGAGUAGGAAUCACCAUGAAUGAUUUCCAAAAGCAUGUACAUUGUAUUUUUUUUUUUUUAAAUACAUUGUAUGUACAUUGUAUGCUUGCGACGAUCUUUUGACUCUUAAUAUAUUAGUGGAUAGGUCAUAGGUUAAAUAGGAGUGUAAUUUGUAUCAUUUUAAUUUCAACAGGUUUUUACUUAAGAUGUGUCAUAGAAAUACCAUUAAGAUAUUUGAAGAAACUACUGCUUAUAGGACAAAACAAAUAAACACAAAUUCUUGCUCUACAGUUACUACAUGCAAGUAUCUAAUUGAGUGGGUUAAGUAUAUGCGAGACUAUGAUAUGUCUGAUCCCACACAUUUAAGACUUGAAUAUAUUGUACUGGUUCCACGGUUAUAUGAUUCUUCAAAGUUAGGCACAAGUAGUGAGAAUGAAAAUUAGGAUGACAACUACAACUAUCAAUGAUAUGAAAGACAAGUUUAACAUGUUCGAACAAGUUUACUAAUUAUUGUUAUGGUUUUGAUUUUUACCCGUGUAAAUGCAUUACUUUUACGAUUUUGUUUUUUGCCUGGCUCUUGGCCUCGUUUGUUUCAUGGGAAAUAAGCAUCAAAAAAUGAAAGUUGUUCAUUUCCGGUGUUUAGGAAAGCAUAAGGAAAAGAAACACUUUAUUGAUUGAUGGGAAAAUAUGGGGAAAAUGGUUCAUUCUAAAAUCCUAAGGAACCAAUUUCCUUUUUUAUUUCACUGCAUUUAUUAUUUACAACACAAUAUUUUAUUAUAUUAAAUCUCAACUCUUUAACAACUUUCCAAUUGACUUUUCUGGUGUUACCAAGCAUCGGAAUGGAAAAUUCUUGUAAAUUUCUCAUCCUAUGGGAAAGAUGAAGGAACCAUUUUCCCUUCCGCGAACCAAACGAGACCAAGAGUGAGCAACAGCUGCCUGUAGGAAAUGUAUGAUGUAUUGAUGUUACAUAAAUCCCUCAAGCGUUUAUGUAAUGGGUCCAAGCUUUCCUCUUACACCGGUAUUCUAACGGUGACCGAGACAUCGAUCUAUUUAUACCGAUUCAUGUUAUGGUGAAACAAAUGGAGUAUUUUUCAAUAAGGAAAAUCCGAACCCAAAAUUGUUAGAUAUUGCCAGUUCAUCCCAAGACUCGGAACUGUAAUAAAAAUGUCCAAGUCUCAAGUCUAUGCUCACAGCAGGCCCUAAAUUAUCCCUCAUUUUCACACCAACCACCAUGUAUUUCAAUUCCACACGAUGAUCAAAGAAAGGAGCAUAACCUCAUAAACACCAAACAAUAUUGAUAUAUAAACAAGCCGCUGCAAUUUCUCCAAUUGAAUAUAAGUAGAAAAAUUACAUAAAAAAAGUAUGAAUCAAAUUUUAUGCUACAUAUAGUACACAACAAGAACAAGCUCAUCAAUCAAGUCUCGCUGCUACUGCCUAACCCUAAAACUCAAAGAUCCGAUCAAUGCAACAGGUAUGUCAUCGCCAAAGCCAGCACCAAAAGGAUGUAAGCAAUUCCUUGAUCUAUAGCCGCACCUAAACAAAAAUCAAAUCAAAACCCAUGUUAGCAAAUCCACAACACUAAAAAACCCAUGUAAGCAAAUCCCCAAUACUACACAAACUGGAUCUGAACAAGAACUCACCAUCGCUGGUCGGAGAAGGAGCUGGGGCUUCCUGACCAUAGCUGAGGCCGAAGAGGGCCAUGAAGAUGAACCCAAUAAUGGGAAGAGCGCAGCAAGAUCUGUAUGAGUUCAUCUUCGAAAAGUGAAUUAGAGAUGAAGAAGAAGAAGAAGGUGAGGGGGUUUGAGAAUUUGGGUUGGAGGGUUGGGAAGGGUAGUUGGUGUUUAUAUAUUAUUGGGGCAGUGUGGGGUUUGGGGAACGUGGAGGGCAACAGUGGGCAUGUGCUGGUUCGAGGAAGGUGGGUGAGAGUGUGAGAGAGAGAAUCUGAGAAUAGUUUCAGUUUGGUUUUGGUUUCUUUGUGAACAAAGUACGCGGUCUUGACGCGAGCUUUUUUGACUCCGGGUCGGCGGCUAAUGGACUCGGAUUCAGAUUCGGAUUCGGACUCGGACGGCAGUAGAUGUAUGAGAGUGGCCAUGGUUCUUAGCCCGCCAUAUGAGGCUGGAUGGAAGGAUGUAGACAUUGGACCAUAAAAUUGUAUACAUCAACAUAAAAUAAAAUACAAUCUAGAGUGACGUGAAAAUACAACGUCUUCAUGUGUUAUCGGUUUAUAUUAUAGUACCAUAAUUGUCUGUUGAUUCAAUAAUUUAUCAGAACGUUCAUUUUUCGUCACAUUUUAAAAAAAAUAUGAUAAUUUUAAUAAACACAACAUUAUGAUCGACUAAUUUUUUCUUCUUCAUGAACCAUGGAUCAUUUUUUUUUUUCGACAGUAUAAACCAUGGAUCGUUAAAAAUCAAAAUCAUGUAAAUACUUAAAUAGCAAAUACUGUGAUUCGAUGACGAUGUGACUUAUUCAAAGCAACAUGGGUUACAUGGGUCAUUGAGACCAUUAAUCUAACACGUUUUUUCAAGAUUUUGAAGUGUCUUAUUGUUUAAGUGUCCCAUUUGUACUCAAAAGAAGACUUUGUCAUUUAUCCAAAUCAAGAUCCCUAUGCUUGAUAAGCGAGUGCGACACGAGGGCUUCCUUAGUUCCAUACAACUAAGGCAACACAGGAAGGAGUAGGAAGUCUGGGUGAUAAAGAAAGCGCAGGUGUGCAAAUGUAGCAACCUGUGCCAGCAAGGGAGAGAAGAAUCAGAACCCCGUUGAGUUGUCAAAUUAGAAGGUCAAACAGAAGUUGGUGUUGUUAGAUUAGUCUUGAUUCACAUAUGGAAGCCAGGAGGAUUGAGCUAUAAUUCAAGUCCAAAUUGUAUACAUUGUAAUGGAAAAGUCGGUUGUGGUCGACCUUGAUCAGUUGACCGUUACGGUUGGUUUUAUAUAACGUUGAACGCCACCUUCCACAUCAGCCGUAAAAUAUCACAAUAACAUUGUAGCCAAACACAUACAAAGCGUAUGUUACCAACAAUUGUGUGAUUUUGUUAUAUUUAUAUGUUAUCUGUUAGCAAAUAUCAAUGUGGGAGGUGUAUAGUAGUUGUAUCUAUGUAUGAUUUUAGUUUUGCUGAUAGGAAUGUACACGUCUAAAAGAGUUUCACAAUUUAUGUAAGAUAUGGGAGAAAACUAUGUAAUUAGAUAAAUUUUACUUUUAAGUUUUCGUUGAAAUUUUCCUAAACCUUUUGAUAGAUGUAUCAUUCAACCUUCUAUGGGAUUGAUCUCGAUUCUUGGAAAUGCCAGAGUUCAAUCGUUGAACUAAGUUGGUUGCGGAUUAAGUUUUAAAAGAAAAUUUAAAAAAACUAUAAUAUUUUGUAAUGGUGACCACAAUUUGUGAGAGAGUGAGAAUUCUACAAGUAGCUAGGAAACAUAAAAAGUUCACAACUAUCUAUGAAUGUCUAUAUAUAGCCUCUAUGGGAAUUGAUAUCACGUUUAAUGAAAAAAUUGAGCUAAGGAUGAAAUAAUUUUUUUAUUGAUAUGCUUGUGUUAAAUUGAUGAAUGGUAAUCUCAAAACUGUUUUAGCAUUCUCAAUAUUAACCCAUGAUUUUGUUAUCUCCAAUCCAUCAAGGCAUCCUGAAAUGAAAAAAGGCUUGUCAUGUUUGAUGAGGUUAUGGUCGCAAGUCGUUUGUAAACGUGAUCAAAGCCAAACUCUCAAGCAUAAGCAACAGCCUCCUUGAGAGACUAUCCCCAUAUAUCGUCCGCAAUAUGCAAAGCAUGAUCCUUUGCAUUGCCGAUCUCAAACUUGAUUAUACGCAAGCACAAAAAAGAGAAUUUUCAUAUACACAUAAUUUUAAAGAGUGGUUUUAAAUAAAACUCACAUAAUAUUCAUAUCUGAUAGACAUCUAAAAUGUAUCAAUUAUGAUAAAUAUUAUGUCAUAUUUUUUCUAAAUUUUACACAAUUGACACCAUUCAACUAUAACAUAUUAAUAUAAUAAAUAAGCUUAAUUGAUGCUGUCUUAAAUACCUUGAUUAUGAGUUUUUCUUCUAACACUAACAUUUUUCAAUCAAUUCGCAAGAAUCAUGUAGUUUUCUUUAUUUUUAUGAAAAAAUCUAGAUUUAACGAAUUCAUUCUCUAAUCUAUACAUAAGGUAAAAUAUAAUAUGAAUAAGAUAUCUGAUCUAAACCCUAUACCCUAAACUCUAUAGCCUAUACCCUAAACCCUAUACCCUAUACCCUGAACCUAUACCCUAACUCUAUACCCUAAACCUUAUACCUUAACCCUAUACCCUAAACCCAAUUUUGGGUUUCUUUUAUUUAGGUAUAUUAUCAUAUCAUACCCUACUUAAUAUGUACAUUAGAAACGUAAGUAGUAGAGAGUAAAAUGUUCUCUCGAUUAUGAUAGGAAAUGAUAUAAUAAUAUACUUAAAAAGAAUAAAAUUAAUCAAAGAACAAGAACGUGUACCUUACAAUUAGACAUUUUUCGACUAUGUAGAGAGACACUAAAUGUGAGCUUAGGAAUGAAAAGUAUCAUCCUAUUACAAAUGACAUACUUCUGUAUAUAGCAUAUAUAUACACACACUCAAGUUAGUAAUAACAAGUUAAGAAAUUAAAGAAUGUAAUUGAUUAUGACAAAGUUAAAUCCAACUAAAUUUUAGCUAGUAUUUGAGUUUCAAAUUGAUGCUAAAAUUGAUAAAUAUACCAAAUUUAGCUUUUUACUGUCUGAAGAGCAAAUUAGAGAAACCGAAAAAUAAAAAAAAUAUUAAUUAUAGACAUUUGCUCUAUAUGGUAUGUUUGCUUAUGUGGAGUGAGUGUAAAAUAAAAAAAAAUAUGUAUGAGUUUAUCUUAAAAGAGGUAUAGUAUUUUAGGUUUUUAUCUAAUUUUCUCCAAAAUUAAUGUCUCCAGUAACUUUAGAAAACCAAUGAGCUGAUUACAAACUUGCACUGGGAGAGUAAAACAAGAAACUAAUAUGAAGACUGAAGGAUCGAAGAAAUGCUAGAGACGAUUCCACCAUAGCAUCAAAAUCUCAGCAGCACCAGACUAGCUAGCUAGGAGAAGAUAUCAGUCUCACCCGAAAGUGUGUACAGAGUCCCAAACUAUAUAGUUUGGAACUGGACAUUUUACCAUAUUAUUUUUCUACUUUUGCCGAAAAUUCCGAAGUAUUAAGAAAAAAAGGAUGACCACUUAUGCAUGCCAUGCAUGUCUGUCGCUACUUGUGGCUUUGGCCCAGGAAUGACUAUGAAUCUCGUAUGAAAACCAGGGCACCACACAAAAUGCUUCCUAUAAUAAACACAUGCAAAGUAGUUAAAAGCUUGUUGCUUAUGCUUAAUUAGGUCGUGAUCUGACUAGGAACAACAUUAACGACACGGAAAGCAUAAGCCUAACCAAGUGCCGACAAUUUCAUUGCUUUUCUGGGUUCAACAUUUCGCUCAACCCAAUCGAUUAGGUCUUUCUUUCCUAUCAAAUGUUGCAUUUCAAGUCACAUCUAUACACAUCAAUCCCCCCUAUCCCAUAUGAUGAGUCCUAUAUAUGACCUAGUGACAUGCAUAUGAAUCGUGCUACAUCAAACUAGGCAGUUUAAUUUGGGCAGUAAGUCAUCAGAUUAAUUAGAUAUUAACUAUUGAUCAGAGUUUUAAAAAAACUCCUUAGGCUUUGUUACUGUGGAAGACAUGUUUGGAGUGUCUAGACGUCGUCUAAGUAGGUUGUACGGCCUUAUUUUAAAACACUGUAUAUAAUUAAAGUUUAAAAACUCGUUAAAUAUUUUAAAAGUAAAAAUUUAACUUAAAGCGUUUAAACGCCUCUCAAAAAAAUGAGCGGUCUUAUUUGAGAACCCUAGUAUUGAUUCGUAUUACUAUUGACAUACGAAAUUUUAUUAUCAAAACGGAAAUGGAGUAGAUAAUUAAUUUGUGAAGCUAGCUAGCGGUGAGAGAUGAAGAUAUGAUGAACAAUGGUGUCAUUGCCAGUAAGAAAUAGACAAGUGAGCACUCUUUUGAGUCAGAAUCGUCUCCAACUGGCGGAACCAAAGGCAGGUGGCGGAACCAAAGUAGCAUCUAAUCCUCAUUGGGAAUGCUUGGUGGGGUCGAAAUCCCAUUUCCCAAAUGAAAAUUUGUGACUAUGAAUAGCGUCGUUAUUCGAUUUUCUUAGGCUACAAGUGCAGCUAAAGCUUUGGUAUAUGGACAAGUGUAGCUCAAGAUAAACUAAACUGGUCUCAUCAGUCUGAGGAUGAGCCCAUUGUAUUAUAUCGUAACAAAAGCAUCUUUCACAUCGAGGCUAAAAGCAAAGGAAACCUUUCCCUGGAGGAAUCAAUCUUAACCCCAAAGAAACUUCUUUAUAUAUAUGCCAAUUCCAUAGCCAAGCUUUACUUGCCCACCUCUCCUAUAUAUUCCUCUUCUCUCUAUAUUUGUAAUGCUGUAGCAGUGUAGGCUACAGAUUCUUUUCUUUUCUUUUCAGGCCAUUCCUCAUAUCUCAGGUUAACGAGAACCAAGAUUGAACAAGAUCAUUAUCAUGUGUCACCCAGCGGGAGUGUCUUUGGUUGCACACAGAGACUUGGCGGUGCAAAAUCGCCGGUGGCUGCUGCUUCUUCUGCAGGCACGGUUCGACGGUUCAAGGAACUUGCAUGCAGCUGCAGACAGAGGAGUUAGAGAGGCUGCUGCUUCUGGUGGAGGUGGCGGCGGUGGCGGCGGAGCAAGGCGAUGUGUGUGCUCGCCGACAAGGCAUCCGGGGUCGUUCCGGUGCAGGCAACACCAUGCUGAUCAGUAUGUAUGGGGUGGUCGAACUGUGACAAGAAUCAGGUCCAGUAGUACUAGUACUAGCUGAUUAAUAAGCUAGCUUUGGUUUUAUACAAGUGAGCAAAUUUACAAGAUUACGAAGGAGAAAUUGAGAUGUAAAAUAUGGUGAUGUGUGUCUUGCUUACAAGAAUUAGCUCAACUGCUAAAGGUUAAUUGGCUGGAGUAUAUUGAUGUUUUAAACUGCCCUCGUCAUAUUUGGCGCAUUUCUUAGAGGGUGUUGGGAAACAAAGAUCGUCAUAACGACAUAACCAAAUGCUUAUCUAUGCUUGUUGCAGUUUAAUUAGAACUGAGAAAGGUUUAGUGCUGUGAAAUUCUGUUAGUGAUCCUAAGAAGUGGAAAUUUAGUUCCAUCGUUUUGUUAUACCUCCGUAUACAAGAUCAAGUUAAGAACCCAAAUCAGUAAUCGAUCACUUGGUACUUUAUAAAACCAGUUUUUGGGUUGCAAAAGAUAGGAAAAUGACGCUUAGGAUGAUGGUAUAUGAUAAUGAAACUCUGAACGAAAUGCUUUCAAAGGUUUAUAUUAACAAGCAUAUAUCACAUAAAACCGCUGCUAAUGAGGCUCUACUGAUACAAAACAUAAUUUGUCAUCUGAAUGAACAUAAGCUGGUUACAGGGGUUAUAACAAGACCGAUAGAUCGUUGCCUCCAAACUAUUCAACUUUUGUCAGUUUUGAAGAGUUAACUUGGAUUUCACGAAACUGCGCAAAAUUUUUAAGUUAUUUAACAUUUUGACAAAAUACAAUCUAUAGUUAACUUCUAAGGACUAGAGACAUGGUUUAAUUUUCUCGAAUAUCUUAACAAAUCGAUAUUUGUAAACAACUCAGACGUAAAUACUUCAUUCCUAGUGAUACGACACAAGUAUUCUCUAGAAUGUUUCAUAAUAGUUGAUAUAUGCUCAUAAAACACACAAUUGUUAUUCAUCAACAACUAUCAUAGUGUGAUUCUUGUUCAUUUAGAACACAACUCCAAUCAAUACAUUCAUCGUAAUAUAUUCAUACUGUCAAGUAAGAGUGAGGUAAUUGACAAAGUAUGCAAGCACAUAACACUCGUGUUCUGCUUGUCCGAAGGUUAUCCCAAUUGAUAUAUCAAGCCAUGCAACAAACUAAUCACAGCACGAAGCAACCAUCAGCUUCAGGAUCAGGAAAAGUGGAUGCGUUGGUAUAGAAUUCGAAGAUACGAGUAUGCAUGAACUGGAGACUCAAAACAGUUCCUGACGUCCUUGUCGAUCUUGGUCGUUUCAACUUCAAAUUGAAACGGAAUGGCAACACCCCUAGUCUUAUGACUCCCAACCUCAUCAAACUCAGGUGCUUGUCCAUCUGGGCGACUCAUUUCGGGGGCAACAAGGCAGGCUUUCUGACCUCCUAUAUGGAGGAUGUAACUUAUACAUGCGAAAUCAAAUUCCUCAGGCAACAUUGGCAGCUCCAAAUCAACAAUUUGUGUGAUAGAUUCUCGAUUCUCAUCUAAGAACAUAAUAUAAACUCCUAGAGACCACCGUCGACCAUGAUUGUAGGCAAACAUUAUCUUCUUGUUAUUGUUAUGGUCACCAGGGAGGUCCAGGACCAAAGCUCGGUUAACAAAAGGAAAAGGGCCGCUUUCGCACAUGGAAUCGACUCUCCUCCAUUUUCUGUCUGCGUGAGGAACAUCGAAGUAGUAGACAGGACUUCUUCUCUGAGAUAUAAACAUCUUGGUGCCAGUAAUUGCAUAAGCAAAGGGGCCAAAGCAGGAAUGCCGGAGAGAUGGAGGUUCUGGUAGAGCAGACCAAGUCCCCAUUUCGGGAUCGAAUACCUCAAAUGAGGGAGAACCGGAGACAAUCCUAUACGUAAGUGCAUACAGUUUGCCCCCCAUCUCCACCAUCAUUGGAGAAAACUUGCCUUGGAUCAAUUUGGCAUCCAUCUUCCGUAUUACACUUGUAUCACCAGGAGGCUGCUUGUCGGGGUCAGUUUCGAAGACGUAAACAUCUCUAUGCCAAGUAGAGCCGGUGAACCUUGUAACGAAAUGGCCGGCGGGUGUCAGGCCAGCGGCGAAAACAAUCUGGGAGCCCAAUACACCACAGACCCCACAGGAGGGGAGUUCAGCAUCUCCGGCCUUAUAACCGACCUGCUGUAAUUGCAAACUAUCAACCGAAUCUGAUGACAACAGAUCGGACAAUUUGAUGGAACGGACAACAUAGGACACUCGCUUACCCGGGUGGUGUUCGAUGUAACAUGAGAGACUUAUUGGCCUCCGACUCAUUACGCUUCAACUUCUUACUUCUCUUCCUCUUCCUAUCAGCCUUUUCACGGCAGUGCCGAAGCUUAUGCUUAUCAGCCUUAUACGGUGGUUCACGGCAGCCUCUAAGCCGGUGACCAUCGCCGGCUCUGUUGGCUACGUUAAGAGUGUUUUUGGGGGACAUGGAAGUGUUUGAUGCUUUGUGUUGCGCCUUUCUUUGUGUACUUAUAGAGGAAACCUUUCCUCCCAACACAAGAAGUAAUCCAACUACAUAACUGGUCUAAUUUAAUUGGGUUUUCUGUUCCUAGAUGGACUAGGAAACCAGUUAGACUUGCAGGUCUUAGUUUUGACUGAUUCGAACCUUCAUCAGGAAUGUUAAUCGUAUGAUUUAACAAAAUUAUCCUUUAAAAAAAAAAAAAAAAUAAGUUAAUUGAAAAGAUAUACAAUUCGGAUUUACUCAACUAGUUACUGUACCAAGCACACCAGGAUAUUAACCGCAUCAUUGACGAAGUACCUGUUUUUGUUGGUCACUUGAUCACGUUAGUUCUUAAUGAAGAAAGCAAACAACGCCUGGGGGUGGUGGCUUUGUUGUCCAAAUGGUUUCAAUUGACUUGCAUACUUCGCUAACUAUAUACUUCAUGUCAGUAACCCCAAUAAAGGUAGAACAAUUUCUACCAUAUGAAACCAAGUUUGGUUUAUAUACUGUAUCGGAUUCCAAGGAACCGAUAUCACAGUUUUGGGAUCUAAAACAUGCUAAAGAUUAUGAGAUAGCCUACUAAUCCAUGAAUCCAAUCAAUCGUUGGGUUUCUACAGUACUUCAUAAGUUAUAUUAUUGUUCCGAAGUGUCGUGCAUUGUAAACACUAAACAGGAGAUAAGUUACGAGCUGUAAAACAAAACCACUUAAAGAGAUAGGAGAAUUGAGUUACAAGCUGCAAACAUGAUAUAUGAACAUUCAGUGAUGGAUAUAGAAUGAUGAACCAAAGUGAGAUUGAAAAGCUGGAUAUUGUAUGAGAACAACAUGGCUGCGAUCCGUAGUGGAAUUUUUGCGACCAUAGUUUACCAAUCCUAACAUAAAUUAAACUUUGGCAAAAUACUGAAAUUUUCUCAACACGGUGUGGUAUUAUUGGUAAGGAAGCAUCUUUCGUGCUUGUUACCUUUUACUAGUACCAAAUACGACACGAAAAAGACAAAAUAUAGUGCAAGCUUCAGCUUAGUUUAGAAACCCAGAUGAGAUCAUCAAAGCCAAGUCAAAGUUCAAUACCCAAUAGAGUCAAGACACGAAGUACUUGUGGGUCCAAAAGCAUUUCAAAUCGUCGACAGGACGUGGAUACAGUUUUGGGUCCAAAGGCUCUUGCGACGAAAAAUCGUCGAGUCAAUAUUACAUAUUCGUAAACCAACCGAGCUGGCUGGCUGAAGCCCAAAUAUAUUAGAGCCCAACCAAGCUGAAGUCGGUGGAAGACCGUUGGAGAGAACGGUAAUAUAAUUUGAAACUUUUCCAAACCUCCGAAAACCCUCCACUCAUUUUCGCUCUCCAAAUUUCCAAUCUUUCUUUCUUUUCAAUCCCAAGAGAAUCCCACUUGUUUCUUUUCAUUCUCAAAUCCAGAGUUGGAAGAAACCAUAGAAAUCGAAAGGCCCAAAUUUCCAAUCCCAAUUGCAAAAUCAAGAACAGACCCUGAUUUUUCAACCUCUGAGAAACCCUAGAAACAAAUUUCGAGAGAAAGGCCCAAUCUUUUUUCCAAUCUAGGUUUUGCCGAUUUCAAAUUGCGAAUUCGAGAUGGGUAAACGACGUCGCAUCAAGAAGCUCUGUGCUGAACUUGAUGUAGCCGAGGACAAGUUUGGAGAGAAAGAGCCGAUCAGUGAGGAAAUUGAAGAGGGAAGUCAAGAGGCUGAUGAAGAGGUUGGAUCGAAAAGGAAAGAGGGAUCGGCGUAGACGGGAACGGCGUGAACGGAAGAGGUUGAUGGGCGUGAGAGAUUUGCGUGUGCGGGAUGGUCGUGAUUAUGUCCCGCACACGCAAAUCUCUCACGCGCAUCAACCUCUUCUGUUCACGCCGUUCCCCCGUCUACGCCGAUCCCUCUUUUCUUUUCGAUCCAACCUCUUCAUCAGCCUCUUGACUUCCCUCUUCAACUUCCUCACUGAUCGGCUCUUUCUCUCCAACAUGUCCUGGGCUACAUCAAGUUCAGCCCGGAGCUUCUUGAUGCGACGUCGUUUACUAAUCUGGAAUUCGCAAUUUGAAAUCGGCAAAACCUAUAUUGGAAAAAAAAUUUGGGGCUUUCUCUCGAAAUUUGUUUCUAGGGUUUCUCAUAGGUUGAAAAAUCAGGGUCUGUUCUUGAUUUUGCAAUUGGGAUUGCAAACUCUCUGAUCCCGAACUCUCAUUGUAUGUAAGCCGCCUUUUUCUAUUCUGAACUAUUGAAUGAUUUUAUGAAGAAGAUUGCUGAUAAUGAUUGAAGUUUGCAUCCCAUUCCUAUUAACUAUUGGAUCUAUUUUGUCUUUGUUUUGAUACACAGGUUCCAGUUCCAAAACUUGUAUUUCCACAAGUUUCUCCAAAACAGGGAGGACAUCACCGCCUUUCCAGUGCUUGCUGUUCAGAACCUCCGUCGGCUUCAGAAUGUCACUUAUAAGGAGAGGGAGCGCAAAUGGACACAGGCAUACAAAAGUUGGGUACAGGACCACUACCCCGAGGGGGGAAUUGAUUUGGAAACAACCUGUAGUGAGGAGAUUUAUGCUUGGAGGGCCUUCAACUAUAGGUUCUACCGAGAUGACCCAGUAGAUGAGGCUGACCUUGUCAGGACCCUCAUCUCCCACUUCAACGAAUGCAGGGCCAAAGAUAUUCCUGCCUCAGCUACAUUUGACCUCAAGCAGGUCGGGGAGGUGGUUUUCAGCUUGUUUCCAGAUAUCUACACCGAUCUCUUCGACUUCCUGUACGAGUGUAAUGUCUAUCUUGAUUUCUCUGCCUGCCGGACUUACUACAGGUGCGUUCCCCUUUGCUCUAUCUUACCAGUUUGCUUGAGACAAUUUUCCAUAUGAUCUUUUGGUUAGGCUUGCUACUGAUGUGUGAUUCCUUCUUUCUUUCUUUUUGUGCAGGGAUCCUGUUGUUGUUGUUGCUGAUUAAGACUGCAACAGUGGGCAUAACAGUGGGGCUUGUUUGAGGUUGAUUCUAAUGGAGGAGACACUUGACUUAGAGAAGAGGAAAUAGCUGAAGCAGUCAUAGUGGGAGGGUCACCAUUUUUUCUGAUGCCAUCUUCCUGAUGUCAUCUGGUGUGCAAUGCAGGUGCCGCCUUAAUUUUUUUUUGCCUUGCUGGUGAAGUGAUUUCUUUUUUAUAGAGGAAAUAAGUAGGUGGCAUACACCCAAGUUUAAGUGUAAUAGUUGAAGAAAUACAAUGCAGACUUGAGGAAGUUUAUGCUUGUAUCAGUGAUUGAUUGUUGUGCUUCUUGAAUUCUUUUUACCACAUAAUGCAGACUUGAGGAAGUUUGUGUUUGUAUGUUGUGCCUCUUGAGUACUUUUUACCACAUUUUCUGUUAUAAAGGAGGUGAUAUAAAUCAUUCUAUUGAGAAUUAGAAUCGACCUCCAGGGCUUCUAAAUCUAGAAUCGACCUCCAGGGCUUAUAAAUGGCCUUGUAAUGUCAAAGGAUCUGUGUCUAGGUGAGAUAUCUUAUUAGUAAUCAAGCUUGCAGGCAAGGUGAUUUGUUUUCAUGGCAAAAGCCAGCCGGAACAAGUGAACUUUGAGGUUCAGCCGGGGCGGUACUGCCAGACUGAAAUUAGUGUUUUGUCCAAAAUAUUAAUACAAAUGGUCUGAGCAAGAACUGAGGACAUGUGGAUCAGUUUUUAACUCUUUUGUUGGGUUUGUACUUUAAAGCAGUGGUUUAAACUUUAAACUCUGGCAAAGAAUUUUCUUAAAUGUAAUAGUUGUUUAGAAGCUAUAAGCUGCCGGCAGGGAGAAGAGCUUUAGUUCUGGGCAGGUUCUCAAAUUUGCAGAUUUAUAAGGUCCCCCUUUGAAUUACAAGAUACCUUUAAAAGGAAAAUGGAGACGCAACAACUGAGACUAAAGAAAGUGUGAAUUUUUAUAAUCCAAAUGGCUACAGCAGUAAUGAGAGAAGUAUUCCCGAAUUUUUAGCAAUUAGCACAACACCACAAACUGGGAUUACUAAAACAACCCGUCAAAAGAAACUGGGAUUACUAAAACAGGUCAUUCCAUGAGUUGCAAUCACAUAUAGAAGUUAUUACAGUUACAAUGGCAAAAAAAUGACCGAGAAAGGAAUGAACUAAGCAAGCAGGUUUGCGUCCACAUGCUUGCAUUGAAUAGCUUCCACGCUUGUAACAACUUAAUCCAGGUUAAGGUCAUCAGCAACCUCUGGGAUGAUAGCAGUUGGCUCGUUGACCGCUUCCUCGACAGAAAAUUGAAUAGGUACUGCAGGUCUAAGAUAGCUUGUCGGCAAAACUUAGCACACUUUUGCACAACACAUAUUCCGAGCUCCUUAUAUGUCUUAGAAACUUAAACUAGAGGAUCAGCUACCACUUCAGGUACUCCAUUAUCUCCAGAAGCAGAUAGCUGCCAGAUAUAUGUAAUCAAAAUGACAGUGUCUUGCUGUCUUAAAUAUGCAUUUUGAUAAAACAUUUUACAACUUGAUAUAAUAAUAGAAGCAGAUCCUGAUGUGUGCUCUGAAUCAAAAACAUGAACUGUACAGUAUAUGUUUGGCUUUGUUUGUCAACCAAGAUAGUCUAAAUCAUGCACUAGAGCAAAUUCAAAUGGAAAGUCGUGAGUGAACGGAAAAAACAUAAGACUUACAGUUGGUCAAAUAGGAAGAUUAAAAUAGAUUUGGGAUAAGUGCUUUACAACUACAAACAUAUGACUUAUACUAUCAAAUGCAUGAACUGCAAUACUUAGAUUAAUUAAGAUAUUCUAUGAAAGUAUGAAGCUCGCUUUCAAAAAAAGAAGAAGAAGAUAUUCUAUGAAGCAAGAAAGUAUAUUAUAUAUGCACAUACCUCGAGCCUGAGCCUUUACCAAACGGGUAGGAGAUGGCAUUACCAAAGAUCAGUGUUCACUACUACAGUGCUCGCGGUGGCUUCAGCUUCUAUAAGGAUCCCUGAGUCGACUCUGCUUGUUGACCGAAAAGGUGGUGGCUUCUGGAUAUAGCAGGCGUGCAGCUAAGUUAAUAUCAACAUUCUUUGAACCUUGAAGUUCCAUUCACAGAUGCAUAUCCAAUCCCAAAGCAUAUCAACCCUCGGAUCAACCUAAGCUAACUGAAAGCCUAAAACCGCUUUAUUACUUAGACUCCAAAGCCAAGCAACAAAACAAAAAGCCGACAAAGUUUAUUGAUGAAACAAUAUAUAACCUAUGUCCAUGAAGAGAUCAACAGUUUUACCCAACAAGUACAUAUUACUGGUAAACCAGAUCAAAUUUAACAAAAGUCUACAACUAGGACAAUAGUUCAAUUGUAAUAAAUCUCAAUAACUAUCAUAGUCCAAAACUGGGUAAAGCAGUACAGGAGCUUCAUUACCUUCUCUGAUGCCCUAUGAAAACACCAUAAGGCGGAGGCAACAUCUUUCUUGACACAGUCUCCAGUAGGAUACACAACACCCAGAAGGUAUAGAGCGCCUGGAUGCAACUAAAAAGAUACCGAGCUCCUGUUAGACUAUGAAAUACGAUUCUGGAAGCACCAUUAUUUGCCACAUUAUAGUGAAAACCUACCUGAUCAACUGCCUUCUCCAGAUAUGGAAAGCUUGCUGAUCCGACUGGACAUUCUCAUUCUAAAAAAGCACCCGAUUAGGCAACCAUCAUAAAGUAAUAAUAAAAUGAUCAAGUAUGUCAACGGAAAAAGAAAAUGCAACAAACUAUUGCAACAUCCCCAACCAGAAACAAAAGAAUAUCGAUCUAUUAAGGGCAUUUUAUCACAUGAGUCGUCAAAAUUCACACACUGAGACCAAACCCAUAAAACUAAUUAGUUCACAUACAAAUUGUUUGAUAGCUGCAAAAUAUACAAUUCACUUAGUGUAUACCUCAACUCUAAGACGACAAGCGAGUUCAUACUGUGUAUCCGGAUCACCCAUAUUUGCGGCUUCAACUGACAGAGCAGCUCCUCUGUUGUGCAAAAAACAGAAAAAUUAUCAAUCACAUGACAUCUUUUUAUUUGCUUGUAUGCCCCAUGAUGCAACACAUAGUAAUUUUGAGAAUGCAGACCACCAUCAUUAAGAUAAUGAAGAAAAGAGUCUAUAAGACUUCUCAGAAAGUACACUUACAUCGGUUUGCAUGCCUCUGGGACAUGGUAUUUCAAAUGCAAUCCGGACAACCAAUACCUAGCAUGGGUAUUUGAGUUGUCGGUCUCUAGAGCCAACUCAAAGUUUUCUUUGCUGCUUGAUGCGAUCAAAACAAUCGUGUCAGAACAGAGCCUUUUCUUUCUAUCAUCCCAAUUUCAUCAACAAAACCUUAUAUGUACUAUGAUCAGAAGGAAGGAGGAGUAUUGCUCCGGAGCAAUACUCUAUAAAGUAUUUUGCCUCUGAUUUGGAAGCUUAUAUCUCACCCAACAAUCAACCAAGCAAAUUAACUAAUGAUGGAAGUCGACAAAAUCAUGGAUUUUAUCCCAGCAGCCUUCUAUUAAAAACAUGACACUCUUCUCUGUCCUCCCAAAACAAAAUCAAAAAACCAUCGAAAACCCAAAAUUCAAUUUGGUUUCUCUUUGUUUCCCACCUUUCCUCAUAAACCAAAAGCAUGUAAAACACAUACAAACACAUGGACAUCAAAAGGCUCCUUUCAUCUUAAACCUCAUCAAACCUACACUAACAUGUGGGUCAGUUCAGUUCACAAUCUACGUCUUCACAUUACUAAUCAAGACACCAACUUUCACUACUUUUCCAAGUAGAAAGAAAAGUUGUUAAAUACACAGAAUGGCAACAUAAAAUAGAUAAAUUUAACAACUUAUUCCAUUUUCUUUAUACCAUUUCAACACUCUAACUAAAGACUGAUUCAGCUGGUAUUCAACAUUAACUAGAGACAGAGAAUUAUCAGAUUAACUCUAGGAAUUAGCUCUAUCAAAUUCAAGUAAUCAGCCUUAAUACUUGCUAAUAGCCUAUGACCAUAUAAAAAAGACUUAAUGUAAAGGAAUCUGUGAGACUGACAUUCAUAAAAUCCUUAAAGUCAUAUGUUACUCUAAGCAUGUAACAAUAAAGUUAAACCAUGGUACUAACCAAUCAUUACACACCAUGUUCCUCUGACACUUAGGCUUCUAGCAAUGCAGGUUAAAGCCACACGAAACCUCUAACUUUUCAUGGUUUAUAACUCUGUUUCGUCAAAAAUGAAUAAUUAGACCUGUGAUGCAGCAGCUACAACAUUGUAAAAGAAUUCCGCUAUUAGAAGCGUAGGCCAUUGACCCAACUGUAAAACAAAGCACUUUCACAAAUCCACUUACAGAACUCACGAACCCAGGCAAUAGUCAUAUCCCCACCAUCAAACUAAACGGAGGGCCUUACACAGAAUAGAUAAAGUGCAGAAGAUGAAUCAAGUUAAAGUGAUUAGAGCAAAAAGCAACCAAGGGUAAAAGGCGGAAAGGUAGAGUCUGGACGUAUAUGAUAGUCGAAAAUGCGAGGAGGCUGGAAUUGGGCGGUGAAACAAUUCUUCCUGUCCUUGUCGACCAUGGAGAUAUCAAAUUCGAAUUGAAAUGGUAUGGCAGCACCUUGUAUAGUAUAAAUCAUCACAAGCCUAGUUUCUUUAUACUCUUCAUGAGCAGGUUUUCUGAUACGGGUGUUGACAAGGCACAUAUUGUUUCCCCCUAGAUGGAGCAAAUGACAGUCACCCGGCCGUUGAGGGAGCGCAGCAGCUGGCAGAUUCAUCUCCAUUAUUUCACUGAUAUCUUCCUGGUUUUCAUCCAAGGACAUAAGAUGAACUACUAGACUAUUCCGGAAAAAGCCACCAGCUUUAACCGAAAAGAGCAACUUUUUGUUACUGUGUUCUGGCUGCGGCAAGUCCACCACUAGAGCUUGGCCUGUAAACGGGAAAGGGCCGCCUUGGCACAUGCUGGGGACUCUCCUCCAUUCUGGGUCACUGGCCGCAAGGUCAAAGCAGCGAAUUGAAGGGUCCUGUUUAAGGUAGUUGCGGUAGUAGUUUUCUUCGCCCUCUGGCACUGGGCUAGACAUGAACAAUUUGGUUCCGGAUAUUGCAUAAGAGUAGAGGAGGCCAUAAUUAGGAUAUUUUGGCAGACGUGACCAAGUACCCUGUUGGGGGUCAAAUACCUCAAUGAAACGUAAGUGUUAUACUCCUUAAGGGACAGUACAUAGAGUUUGCCGGCAAACUCAGUCAUCAACGGUUUAUGCUUCCCUCCGUUCAAAGCGGGCAUCUUGACUAUUCCUUGGUUGGGGUCAUGGACAUCAAAGGCAUAUGCGUCUGUGGUGGCAAGAGGGCCGAAUGGGAAUCCGAAAACCGGAUCGGAGUUGGGUUUCAAUCCGCUGGCGAAAACAAUCUUGGAGCCCAAAACACCGCAACCCCCUUCAAAUGGGAGAUCAUCGUCGACCAGAUUCGCCACUUGUCUUGAUUCUAAUUUCACCGACGACGACGACGACAGCAAAUCGGAAAGAUUGAUGGAACGAACAACAUAAGAAAACUCCCCAGGCUCAUACCCCGCAGGAGGGAUGGACUUUCUGUGAGUUUCAAAGCUACAAAUGAAUAGAUACUUCUCAUGCUCUUCACCGUAGCUUUCUGGGUUCAACGAUUUUUCGGACAUAGUGUUUCUCUGUUUGCUCUCAAGCUUUGAGUUUGAGGCUUAGGUUUUCGGCUUUUGGCAGUUUAUAUACAAACAUGUUUCUUCUUCAUCACACGGUUGGAUUUACGUUUCCUAAUAACAAUUGGAUCAGAGGUCCUAAUUAUUAUUGGAUUUGGAUUGGAAUCCAGCAGAUAGUUGGGCUCGAACGAAAACUCGGCCCAGUUGCUUUAUAACUAUUCCCCGUCCUUUUUUCUUAAAUUAAUACAUAACGACCGGCUCUACUCUGUAUAUCAUGAAGAGUCAUGGCCUAAGUUUACAGAUAGGUCUAGCUGCAGUUCGGUUGCCAACCCUUUUCAUCUCAACUGAUGUCGACCUAAAGGUAGAUAGUAUACGAAAACUAGAUCGAAGCGGCCAAAAUUUUCAUUUCAUCUUCACAAUUCCUCAACAUCAAAACAAUCUACUUUAUUCCUCAAUUACUAAACGUAGGCAAACCAAAAGCCACAAAGCCAUUAUGAAUUUCCAACCCACAAUCAUACAAAUCGAAUUAAAAAUGAAACUCCCACAUAAUCACACUGAGGUGUACCAGUGCUUGGUCUCUUACUAGGCUUUAUGCAUUUUUCAGGCCUUUAUUGCGAAGAAAUAACCCCUUUUUCUGCAUAUGUAAAAAUAGAAUAGUGUUAGUCCUCUAACUUAUUCUGCCAGUUGAAAUUAAAAUCAUUAUUAAGGAAAAAAAAAACUAUGCUCGUGACAAUCAGACAAUUUUCUUUUUUCGACGCUAGAUAAUACAUUCUUGAACUCAAAUGUUUCAUAAUUUUAAGAAAUUAAAAAUAACAAUCUCUCACAAUCCAAGUAUCUAAGCUAGGUAAAGCUAGGAUCGGUUUGUGUUUUUACCCGGCUUGGCCUUUAUUACUUUAUUCACAACUUUAUUCACACAACAAAAUUUCUUGCUCAUGUGAAAUCAACUUUUCUUGCUCAUUACAUGAUAAUACGCUCUUCACACCUUUAUUGCAUUUGUUGUAUUUGAUUGUUCCAUGAUAUGACUUUUACUUAUACAUAGUCACUCAUAAGUCAGUUAAAAUAAAAUGAAUUGUGUAGAGCUAAUAUAUGUAUAUGAGAUGUUGGAGGCAAUUAAAAAUUAUUCACUGCAUUUAUGAUUAGAGACUUAUCACCAUAUUUGUCUUUCAGCAUAUUCCUUUGGACCUUGAUGUUUCGUUUAUGAUUAGAGACUUAUCACCAUAUUCAUCCUUCAGCAUAUUCCUUUGGACCUUGAUGUUUCGUUUAAAUCAAAUUUGCAGGUUACCAAGACAAUUAGUACGUACUAGGGAUGAGAAUGAGUAACCAUUUAUUUAUGAUGUACUAGGAAAUCAAUGCAAUUGCUCAUUUGCUCUUGCUUAUAUGUGAUGUUGAUCAUUUCUAUUAAAAAAAAAAAGUGAUGUUGAAAGUAAUUACAUGUAAAAGUAACUUAUAACAACUAUCUCUCUCAUACUUGGGACCAAGCCCCAAAAAACACCCUAGUCUGACUACAACAAAUCUAGCCAACAUAUACCUAAGGCUAUGAUCGUUUCGCGGAAUCAAGGCAUAAGGCCAUGUUUGUUUGGAUGCAGUAGGAAAUAAACUGGAAAAGAAAAUGGCGGGACGUGGAUACACUUCUGCUUUACCGACCAAAAAUCGUCGACAGAAGUCAGUCAAUACUACAUUUCGUCGUCUUUUCUUUUGUAAACCAAGCUGCCUCAAGCCCAAAUAUAACAGCCCAACCAAGCUUUUUUCUAGGGUUUUGCUUGCAGACAACUCCUAGAUGAGGUCGCCUCCAGGUGAGCGAAAAAGCUUCAUCUUCCGAUUCUCGACUUCGGCACAGUCAAAGUGCGUGAUGAUAGGACUCAGAUCCUCUCCUCGUAAUUGUCUGCUAAUAUUGCCUCAAAAAUGAAUCUGGACCAUACAAUCGUAAUGGAUGGCCAGGAUUUCUCUAGAAUUUUACAGGGGACCUCAAGAAUUUUACCACCUGCCACGUCAUGGACGAGUGUGACCGUAAAAUGUUAAUAGGGUAAAACGACUCCCAAAUUCAAUUCCUCUCUCUCAAUUUAUCAUCGGCCGCGACGAGAGCUCCAUAGGAUUCGGGGCAAUCGGCUGGGGGUAGUUGCGGAAUUUCCAGUGCUUCAUCUCCGGCGCCGGAAUGCCAAGUGGGUAAGUUGGACUCCUCUUGCUAGUUACUUUACUGUUCAAUUGGUACUGGUAAACUUGGUAGCAGUAGAAGAUAUGCAGUGACUAAUAAUUGGAUACAGUUAGUCUUUGCUCAAUGGAUACAUAGCUCCUAAGAUUGCCAAGUUAGUGAUUGGAGCUAUAGAGCAAAUGGGGACGUGUGUUUCUUUGCUAUUACGUUGAUAUGAUACAUAGGGAGAGCUGGUAGUUCUAGUUAUUGCGUGGAUUGAACACCCUUUUCCGAAUUCAGCUGACGGAUCAUGUUAGUUUUUGUAAGAAAUUCGAAACAGCAAAGAGCAGAAAUUGUAUGUAGAUAUAUGUUCGGGCAGGUAUACCUUUCGUCUCUAAAUUGUAUGCAGAAAUUGUUUGGACUUGGGGAGCAUGGUGAUGCUGUAUCUCGUCAACUGAUUCUUACAAAAGUUUCAGUGGCUGAAAGACGGCCAGAGGACUAUGAAGUAAGCUGAUGAACUUACUAAAACAUAUAUCAUUGGCUUGUUGUCUUAUGCAUGCAUCAUAGAUUACACAUUGAUCAGGAAUCUCGGAAUUGGAUCAUGUUUUGUGAUUGUUGCUGUUGUUGUUAACCACCCGAACUACAGCUAGCACCCCACAACCCUAAAGAAUUAUGUCCUUUUUCCCUUUACCAAAAACUGAUGGAUUUUCUUUGAAUGUUGUUAUUUAAAUUUUUUUGUUCUCGAUGCAUGUUAGAUGUGUAAUGAAUAUAUCAAAGGAAAAGAGUAAAGUUCAAUUCUUUCUUAAAUCCCCUUGUGGUUUUACUUGUACAUAAAUCUGAGUGAUAUUUUGUGGAUUUUUUUCAAAUGUUGAGAAUAGUCACUAUAUGUUUGCAGGCUGUUAUGGUUCGACCCUUAUCUGCAGUAAAUGCCCUUGUUCGGUUUACUGGGGAGCCCCAGAUGUUUGCAAUUGAGUUCAAUGAUGGAUGCCCCAUCCAUGUGAGCACUUGUUACACUUUAACUUUUAAUUUUUGGUUUCUUUCAGGGACAUGCUUCUGAUGUUUGUGAUGUAUCUUGUAGGUAUAUAUACAAGCACCUCUGGUGAUAGCUUACUUGGGGCAGUUCGUGAUUUGUUGCAAACAGAAGUAGGUAGAUGUGUUCUCUUGUGGGUAUUGAAAAAGUUUACCCAGCACGUUUUGCCAUAACUUUCCACUUUAUGCUGUUUGGCUGACAUCUGGUUAUAACUUGUGCAGGGUCAAUAUGCUGUGACUGUGUUACCAAGACUGACGAUGCCUGGCCAUCGCAUUGUUCCACCUUGGGGCAGAGUUAAUUUACAAUUUGAAAUUCAACGGCCUAUUGCAGAUAUGGAGAUCGCAUCCAUGCAUUUGAAGCACUUAGCAGCAGCUGCCAAAGAUGCAGUUGCUGAAGGUGGUUCCGUUCCGGGAUCAAUGCGAUGAAUAAGAGAGUUCAAUGCAUGUAUACCGUAUAAUGGUGUCCCUCCUAACAUAGAAGUACCUGAGGUGACGUUGAUGGCUUUAAUAACAAUGCUUCGGCUACGCCAAAUCUUCCUCCAGAGUCCCCUCCUUUGCCACCCCCUUCUCCUAAAGCAGCUGCAACAGUCAUGGGAUUUAUUGCUUGCUUACGUAGAUUAUUAGCUUCAAGAACUGCUGCUUCACAUGUCAUGUCUUGCUUACUCCGAGAUGGUUCAGAGGGUGUAGCUGCUGAAGCUGCAUUGCAGUUCUUAUUGGUGGUGGCCCUGGGGAUACAAAUAUAUUGACAGAUUCUAAAGGUGAGCAGCAUGCCACAAUCAUGCACACAAAGUCAGUGUUGUUUGCUCAACAAGGUUACGCCAUUAUACUUGCCAAUAGACUGAACCCUGUGUCUGUAUCACCACUAUUAUCAAUGGCUGUUGUUGAGGUUCUUGAGGCAAAAAUAUGUGAUCCACAUGGUGAGACAACACAAUACCCAGUGUAUGUUGAACUAUUACACCAAGUAGCUGGUUUGAAGCGUCGUCUGUUUGCGUUGUUUGGACAUCCUACUGAGAGUGUUCGGAAAACAGUGGCUGUGAUUAUGCGUACAAUUGCUGAAGAAGAUGCAAUUGUAGCAGAGUCCAUGUGUGAUGCUGCAUUGUGUGAUGGUGCUUUCUUGAGGCAUUUAUUGCAUGCAUUUUUCCUUCCAGCUGGUAAGCGACGUGAGGUUAGUCGACAGCUUGUUGCUCUUUGGGCAGAUUCUUAUCAACCCGCUCUAGAUUUAUUGUCUUAGAGUUUUGCCUCCUGGACUUGUUGCUUAUUUGCACACAAAAUCUGAUGGAGUUCUAUCAGAAGAUUCUAAUCAAGAAGUUUCCUUGACCAGUAGAAGACAGAGACGCUUACUUCAACAGAGGUGAGGUUGUACCGAAGUAUGAGCAACGUCCCAGGCCUUGCCUUCUGCAAAAAAUUAUGACGUGAAUGACCCCAUGACACAAACAAGUAGUGAUGUCUCAAAAGUGUCCAAUAACUAUCAAAGAUCUGCAAUGGAUCCAAAUUCUGGACAGGCUUCGACCAUUCAAUUUUCUGGUGCUCAGACUGGUGAAAACUUGACUGGGGAAGUAUCUUCUACUGGGGAUCUACAAAGCAAUUAUACAUCUUCUCUGGCUUCAGCUGAUGCUCAGUCAACAGGUGGUCAUGCUUCAUUGGCAGGAAAUACUGCAAUCUCAACAGAUUCUCAGCAAAUAUCCAAUCUCACAGAAUUCGGGUCUCCCUUCCCCUGCUCAGGUUGUUGUAGAAAACACUCCUGUGGGAUCUGGCAGGCUUCUGCGUAAUUGGCCUGAAUUCUGGCGAGCAUUAGCCUUGAUCAUAAUUGUGCAGAUUUGAUCUAGAAUCAGCGUACCAAGCAAGAGUUAAGGGAGGCCUUGCAGGCUGAGUUUGGCUCACACUGUAUUUUUAUUUUUAUAUGCUCAGCAUUUUAGUAUUUUUAGUGAGCAACUGCUUUUGAAUUUACUGGAAAGCCUUCCACAUUCACAAUCUUUUUUCACUUUUGAAAAAAUAUGAAGUUCCUUUUAGUAAAUCAACACCACCAUAUACAGUUUGAUUGCUGCUACUGCCUUCAAGGAAUGGAUGUGUUUUUGACAAGGAAGGAGCACAGGUUGGUCCUGUUGAAAAGGAUGCCAUAAGAAGAUUUUGGUUCAAGAAGGCAAUUGCUGGGAUGCUAGACCGGAAGAGACCACAUGAUAUUCGUGUUCGAGUUCCUGUUGUAACGCCAGCUCAGGUCAGUUAUAACAAGCGUGGAACUUAAAUCUCAUCUACUAUGUAUUUCAUUUUUCAUUUGCUGUGGUUUUUCUCUGCAUUGUGAGAAUUUUGCCAGUGUCUUGACGGAAGAUUUGAGUUCUAGAUCAGUUUGAUUGAAAGAACCUUAAGUGUUACCGGCAUAUGCUAUCUAAUUUCGGGUGAAUUGAUUCCUUUUUUCUUGGAGAUUACAUAAGAUACUUGAAAAAUAAUACAGAACAAUCAGACGAGGGAAAUAACAUUAUCAUUGACUGAAACAUGAACAAUACAAAUACAGAAUAUAAAUACAGAAAACAGUUUCCAGGAUGCACGAUAGGUUAUGAUCAUCAGCAAUGCACCAAACAAAUUACAGCACAAAGCAACCAUCAGUUCGAGGACAAGCAUAAGUGGAUGGGCUGGUAUAGAAUUCGAAGAUACGAGUAGGCAUGAACUGGAGAGUCAAACAAUUCUUAGUGUCCUUGUCGAUUUUGGUGAUAUCAACUUCAAACUGAAAUGGAAUGACAACACCCCGCGUCUUAUGACUCCCAAUUUCAUCUUCAUAUUCAGGUGCUAGUUCCCCCCGGAGAGUCAUUUCAGGGGAAACAAGGCAGGCUUUCUGGCCUCCUAUAUGGACGAUGUACCAUAUGUUUGCAAAUUCAAAUUCCUCAGGCAACAUUGGCAGCUUCAAAUCAGCAAUUCGAGUGAUAGACUCUUGAUUUUCAUCCAAGCACAUAAUAUAAACUACUAGAUACCAACGAUCAUUCGUGUAACCAAACAUUAUCUUCCUGUUAUUGUUAUGGUCACCAGGGAGGUCCAGGACCAGAGCUCUGUUAACAAAAGGAAAAGGGCCGCGUUCGCACAUGGAACGGACUAACCUCCAUUCUCUGUCUGGGUGAGCUACAUCGAAGCAAUAUACAGGAAAUCUACCCUGAGACACAAACAUCUUGGUGCCAGUUAUUGCAUAAGACAAGGGGCAAUUGCGCUGAUACGGACCAUCUCGUCGGAAGAAUGGAGGCUGUGGCAGAGCAGACCAAGUCCCCAUUUCGGGAUCGAAUACCUCAAAUGCGGGAUCCGAGACCCGCUCAUACGAAAGUGCAUACAGUUUGCCUCCCACCUCUAUCAUCACAGGAAAAUACUUGGCUUGAAGCAAUUGGGCAUCCAUCUUCUGGAUUACAGAGCUGCUAUCACCAGGAGGCUGCUUGUCGGGGUCAGUUUCGAAGACGUAAACAUCUCUUUGCCAAGUAUGGUUUGGAUCGGACCAGAGGGGGGGCCUCUUGCCGCCGGCGAAAACCAUUUGGGAGCCCACCACACCGCAACUUAUAAAACCGGGGAGUUCGUCCCCGGUCUUAUAAGCGACCUGCCGUAAUUGCAAAUUAUCAACCGAAUCCGACGACAACAGAUCGGACAAUUUGAUGGAACGGACAACAUAAGUGAUCCGGUCUCCGUCUCUAGCGUCGUGUUCUUCGUCGAAACAAAUGUACAGUGUCUUGUUAUCCUCCGACUCAUUUAGCUUCAACUUCUUACUCCUCUUCUUCUUCUUCUUCUUGUCCUUCUUCUUCUUCUUCUUCUUGUCAGACUUAAGCGGUGGUUGACGGCGGUGACCACCAUCAUCGGUGGCUUUGUUGGCUUUUAGGUUAAGAGUGUUUUUGGGAGACAUGAACUCCAAACAGUUCAGUUUGCUUUCGGUGUUGUUGGGCCCGUUCUUUGUUUAUUUAUAGGGAGGAAGCCUUGUUUCCCUGUCUCGCUGGGUAUUGGACUUUACUCCUUCUCUGGUUAGAAAUAGGAUCCACAACUGGGCCUAAUCUGAUCAUGAGCCAGCCCAACUCCACUCCACAAGUCGUUUUGAGGCUAUAAUUAGAUUCGACCUGGAAUGGUAUGAAUCGGAGGGUGAAGCAAUAUUUUUUGUCCUUGUCCAGCUUAGUGUAUCAACUUCAAACUGGAAUGGUAUGGCAACCCCCAAUUUCUUAUGAGACCCGAGCUCCAAUUCGUAUCCUCCUUCAUCAUCACAGGGGAGCUCCAAUUCGGGGAUAACAAUGCAGGCUUUCCGACCUCCUAUGUGGACAAAUCACAGCUUGUUGCUUCACCCAAUUCAUAAGGCAACCGCGGCAGCUUCAAGUCACCGAUCCUUGUGAUAGACUCUUGUUUUUCUCACAAUGACAUGACAUAAACUCCUAGACACCAACGAUCGUGACUAUAGGCGAACACUAUCUUCUUGUCAGGCUGCGGCAGGUCCAGGACCAAAGACUUAUCAGCAAAUGGGAAAGGGUCGCCUUGACACAUUGUAGGGACUAGUCUCCAUUCUCUAUCCGGGUGCAGGCAUUGUAUCCAAGUACAUCGAUGUGAUCAACACUGUGUCAAGGUCAAUCCGUGUGCAGGCAUUAUAUGGAUCAACUGCUACUUUGCCUUCGACCGCGAUUGCCCUUAUGGAGGAUACAAAAUGAGUGGAUUUAAAAGAGACUGUGGUAUGCAGGGCCUCCACAAGUACAUGCAUACUAAAUCUGUGGUCACUCCAGAAUCCUUUACCAAAGGAAUGUUAAUAGUCAGUAAUUUCAGUGCAGAGUAAAUUAUUGUGUUGAAGUUCUUUGUUUAUUUAUGUGGGAAAUGUCAAAAAGAUUGUAUUUGUUGUUGCGGUAUACAAAUCUCUAUUUUAUCGAUCGACACCUGCAAAGGAUCAUUGUUAGAUAUGGAAAUACCUGUAUAUAUAUCUGCCAGAGAGUAAUUCACUUGGGACAUUAAUUUGUAGGCUUCUUGCAGUGUCAUUUCAUCAAAACAUGUCACGGACAGAAACACAUAUUGCCGAAUGAAAUCAGAAUCAAUUAUGGAAGGUGAAGUGAUGUGUAAGACUUAAUAUCUACAUCUAAGGAACACAUAUUAAGUGUAAUAACUUGCCGGUUCUUCCUCUUCUCCAUCUCCUCAUGCAUGCUCAGACCAUUUGUAUCUACAGUUUUGGCGAUAGCAGUAGGUAAUUUCAGUCCGGCAGCAUCGGCCGAACCGCUAAGGUUCACUUGUUGAAAUCACCUUGCUUGCAAGCUUGACUUGGAACAGGAUAUCAGACUUGGCUAAUUGCGCCAAUGCUCAGUAUAGACAGCGAGAUACAGAUCUUUUAACAUUACACGGCCAACUUUGAGCUACACUGGAAAGAGACAUCAUCGUUCCUCUAGAUUUAGAGGCCCUGGAUGUCGAAUCUAAUUAUAGCCUCAAACUUUGAACCCUAUGAUUUUAUUUAUCACCUCCUUUAUAACAGAAGAUGUGGUAAAAAGAACUCACAAAGCACAACAAUCAAUAUCACUAAUACAACCAUAGACUUCUUCAAGUCUGCAUUAUUUUUCUCCAACUAUUACAUUUAAACUUGGGUGCAUGUACUUGUUUUUUCUAUCUAUGAAAAGAAAAUUAAAGAGCCAUACAUAUUGCUUGAUGUAAGAAGGCACUUGCACUGCACACCAGAUGGCAUCAGGAGAACUGGUGACCCUCACUGUUGACUGCUUCUGCUAGUCCCUCUUCUUUAAGUCAGUCUGCUCCGUUUAGCUGAUCAGGAAUAUGAAUAAAAUCAACCACUGUAUACGAAAGCCUUCAAAGUUCCGAUCAACCUCAAAUAGGUCCACUGUUAAAUAUCUGUAAGAUAGACAACCAUAUUGUGCAUUAGAUAUAGCCUUAGAUAUACAAACUACCUGACAGCGCAUAAGACUUGAAAAAUCAGGCGAGGGAAAUAACGUUAUCAUUGACUGAAACAUGUAUCCGUUAAGGAGCGCAAACAAUACAAAUACUGAAUUUAAAUACAGAAAAGAAAGAGAGAAAGAAAACAAAAAACAGUUUCCAGGAUGCACGAUAGUCAAUCAACACAUUAUGAUCAUCAGCAAUGCAACAAACUGGUUACAGCACAAAGCAACCAUGAGCUCGAGGACUAGGAAAAGUGGAUGGGUUGGUACAGAAUUCGAAGAUGCGAGUAGGCAUGAACUGGAGAGUCAAACAAUUCUUGGCGUCCUUGUCGAUCUUGGUGAUAUCAACUUCAAAUCGAAACGGAAUGGCAACACCCCUUGUCUUAUGACUCCCAACUUGAUUAAAUUUAGGUAAUUGUUCCUCUGGGGGACACAUUGAGGGGGCAACGAGGCAGGCUUUCUGACCUCCUAUAUGGAGGAGGAAACAUCUCUUUGCAAAUUUAAACUCCUCAGGCAACCUUGGCAGCUUCAAGUCAGCAAUUUGUGUGAGAGAUUCUCGAUUUUUAUCCAAAAACAUAAUAUAAGCUCCUAGAUUCCAACAACGAGUACCGCCAUAGGCAAACAUUAACUUCUUGUUAUUGUUGUUGUCACCGGGGAGGUCCAGGACCAGAGCUCCGCUAACAAAAGGGAAAGGGCCGCGUUGGCACAUGGAAUGGACUAACCUCCAUUCUCUGCGAGGGUGAGCUACGUCGAAGCAGAAGACAGGACAUCUACUCUGAGACACAAACAUCUUGGUGCCAGUAACUGCAUAGGACAAGGUGCCACCGCGGUGAUACUGACCAUUUUGUUGGAAGAAUGGAGGCUCCGGUAAAGCAGACCAAGUCCCUAUUGUGGGAUCGAAAACCUCGAAGGAGGGAGGAUCAGAUACCGUAUCAUACGAAAGUGCAUACAGUUUGCCACCCAACUCCACCAUCACGGGAACAUGUUUGCCUUGAACCAAUUUGGCAUCCAUCUUCUGAAUCACAGAAGUAUCACUAGGCUGCUUGUUGGGUCAGUUUCAUAGACAUAGACAUCUCUAUGCCAAACAGGGUUGGGGAGGCGUGCAGCGAAAAGGCGGGCGGCAGGUGUGACGCCGGCGGCGAAAACGAUUUGGGAGCCCAACACACCGCAACCCACAAGAGAGGGGAGUUCUUCAUCCCCAUCCCCGGCGGCCUUGUAAGCUACCUGCUGUAAUUGCAAACCAUCAACCGAAUCUGAUGACAACAAAUCGGACAAUUUGAUGGAACGAACAACGUAAGAGACGCGCCUUUCAGGGUGGUAUUCGAUGUGGCAUAUGUACAGAGACUUAUUAGCCUCCGACUCUUUCAACUUCAACUUCUUACUUCUCUUCUUCUUCGCCUUACGCGGUGGUUCACGGCAGCGUCUAAGCCGGUGACCAUCGUUGAGUGUGUUUUUGGGAGACAUGGUUAGUUGGUUUAGCGCUCUCUCUUUAAUUUGUGUAUUUAUACUUUUAUAGGGAGGAACCCCAACCUCCCGAUCUCGCUGGGUUUUGGAUUUCCUCUUUGAAAUAGGAUUCAUAAAUGGGCCUUAUCUGGUUACGAGGUCGAACUCAUUAUUCCUCAUCUCACACCAAAAUUAUCGCACCCCGAGUUUGGGCUUGACAAAUUUAAAAUGAGCCAUGUGAUCCGGCACACAGAUUGUUUUAUUUAUUUUGCCUUUUCCAAUCUGUAUAUAUUAAGCGAAACGGGGGGAUUACUGUUCACGGAACAGUGUCUUCGCCCCUUAAGAUGGAGCCACGUACAGCUACAAUCGAAGGCCCAAAACCCACCACGUAUAUGUCAACUUUACGUUUGUUUUCCCUGGUUUCUCACUUCCAGCUUUCCACCAUCUCUUUUUCUCUCGAUUCUACCCGAACAACUCAAGAAAAGUUUGGGCUGUUGCAAAAGUUCCUCUCUCUGCAAAAGUUUUUCGUUCUGCAAAAGUUCUUCUCUCUGGAAAACUCACUCAGUUGGUGUGUUGGACUUUUGGGUUUUCUCCUUCAUCUCUCUGCAAAAGUUCUUCUCCGGCCAUAUCCAUAUUUGGUUUUUGGUGUAGUCUCAUUUUAGCUUUGGGAUAUAACCACGCACGUGCGAAGCGCGGGUGUCAAAGCUAGUAUUUAUUAUUUUAAGACCCAUGCCAUGAAUGAUUCAAACGAGAUAUCUGAUAAUUUCCAACAAGCUGUUUUUUGAAAGGGUAGGAGCUUUCAAGAUACCAAAUGUUAUAACAAAAUGGGAAAAUUGUCCAAACAUUGUCUUACUUUUUAGAGAAGCAAAACUUUUAGAGAAACAAAACUUUGAUAUCUCAUCUUCAGAAAACUUCAAAACAGUAUCUCAUGUUCUUACCUCGACUGAAGUUUGGUAUCUAGAACCGUUAGCUCCGUUAAAAAAAUUGAUGACAACCAUUUUUAUUCUUAAAGUGACCAAUUUACUCUGAGUUUUUAUUUUUGUUAUCAUUUUAUUAUAAUAAAAAAAAAUUCGUCAUACUGAUACCUCAUCUUUUCUUCAUUAUAAAUUUUGGUACUUCAUGGCUGCUUAAGAUAGACAACCAUAUUGUGCAUUAGAUAUACAAACUACCUGACAGCGCAUAAGAUACUUGAAAAUUCAGGCGAGGGAAAUAACGUUAUCAUUGACUGAAACAUGUAUCCGUUAAGGAGCACAAACAGUACCAAUACUGAAUAAAACAAACAUAUUACAGCACAAAGCAACCAUCAGCUCGAGGACUAGGAAAAGUGGAUGGGUUGGUACAGAAUUCGAAGAUACGAGUAGGCAUGAACUGAAGAGUCAAACAAUUCUUGGCGUCCUUGUCGAUCUUGGUGAUAUCAACUUCAAAUCGAAACGGAAUGGCAACACCCUUGUCUUAUGACUCCCAACCUGAGUAUGAUAUUUAGGUACUCGUUCUUCUGGGAGAUUCAUUUCAGGGGCAACAAGGCAGGCUUUCUGACCUCCUAUAUGGAGGAUGUACCCUCUUUUUGCAGAUUCAAAUUCCUCAGGCAACAUUGGCAGCUUCAAAUCAGCAAUUCGAGUGAUAGAUUCAUGAUUUUCAUCCAAGAACAUAAUAUAAACUCCUAGAUACCAACGACCAAAACCGUAGGCAAACAUUAUCUUCUUGUUAUCGUCACCAGGCAGGUCCAGGACCAGAGCUCUGCCCUUAAAAGGAAAAGGGCCGCGUUGGCACAUGGAACGGACUAACCUCCAUUCUCUGUGAGGGUGAGCUACAUCGAAGCAGCAGACAGGACCUGUUAUCUGAGACAUAAACAUCUUGGUGCCAGUAACUGCAUAAGACAAGGGGGAAUGACGAAUUCGCUCCAAGAAUGGAGGCUGUGGCAGAGCAGACCAAGUCCCCAUUUCGGGAUCGAAUACCUCAAAUGAGGGAGGAUCCGAGAUCGGCUUAUACGAAAGUGCAUACAGUUUGCCUCCCACCUCCAUCAUCGUAGGAAGAUACUUGGCUUGGAGCAAUUUGGCAUCCAUCUUCCGGAUUACACUAGGAGGCUGCUUGUCGGGCUCAGUUUCGAAGACAUACACAUCUCUAUGCCAAGUAGGGUUUGGAUGGGAAACGAAGAUGGGUUUUAUGCCGCCGGCGAAAACAAUUUGGGAGCCCAACACACCGCAACCCACAAAACCGGGGAGUUCAUCAUCUCCGGCCUUAUAACCGACCUGCCGUAAUUGCAAAUGAUCAACCGAAUCCGACGACAACAAAUCGGACAGUUUGAUGGAACGGACAACAUAAGAAACCCGAUCUCCAGGGUGGCGUUCGAUGUGACAUAUGUACAGUGAUUUAUUGGCCUCCGACUCCUUCAGCUUCAACUUCAACUUCUUACUUCUCUUCUUCUUCUUCUUCUUCUUCUUGUCAGACUUACGCGGCGGUGAUUCACGGCAGCGUCGAAGCCGGUGACCACCAUCGCUGGCUUUGUUGAGUGUGGUUUUGGGAGACAUGGAACACCAAACUGUUUCCUUUCGGUGUUGUUGGCCCCUUUUCUUGUCAAUUUAUAGGGAGGAAGCCUUAUCUCCCUGGGUAUUGGACUCUACUCCUUCUCUGGUUCGAAAUAGGAUCCAUAACUGGGCCUAAUCUGAUGAUGAGCGGGCCAACUGAGGUAGCCCAUGUUUACAUCACAUUGACAUACAUGUUCAGCUAGCUAUCCUUCAUUUUCAAUAACCAAAAAAAAGGUAAAACAAUUUCAACCAUACAAAAUGAAGUUUGAUUUAUAUACAAUGAUUGUUGAAUACAUGAUGAAUUUGUUUCAAUGAUCAUUUUAUGGUCCUAAAGCUAUAGAUUGCACAACCAAUCACUUCACCAGUAUAGUACAUGCUCACUCUCUAAAAGUUGUUAAAACUCUAAUUCAGCUUUUAACACCUCUUGAUUUCAACCUCUUCACUGCGAGAAGUAAAAAAACCAUGCGUUAGUCAUCACAAUGUACACAGACUGUUUCUUCAAUGUAAAAAGAAAAUGUCACGAUUCAAGGACAUAUGGCAAACAAUGUCGUACCGAUAAAAAUAGAUAGCACACAGCUCAACUUUGUUAAUGCUUGAAAUCAUAUUCUGCUAAAUAACAUAACCUCCUUAUAAGGUGCGAUCUAAGGGUUGAAUUGCUCAUAGUCUAUUUUUGUGAUUUGCUCAAGAUGCCAGAUAACAUACCAUAUAACAGAGUACUGCCCGUCUUCCUUAUUUAUUCUUUAAUAAAGGGUCAUCCUUGAGACCAGAUGAAUUGACACGUCACUACAGGGAACUGGUGCAAUCCUAGCUCCCCUAUGAUGACAACUUACCCUAUCCCGUAACGGGGUAAAACUAUAACAAGAAACCUAAAGUCCGACCAGCCGUAGGACCAUACUAAACUUGAGACUAUUCACAGUUAAAGAUGAGAAGUAAACUAUCAAUCAUUCAUGCUCAGGACUGACUACAGAAGAGAAAAGAGCUCACCCUAUGGAUGCAAUAGACAGAGGAAAGGAUAUAGAGUAGAAAUCAACAUCUCAUACGAAAUCUACAAAGAAUUUAUUGAAUUCCAAAUUAACCACAAGAAAAGAAAGUAAAGACAAUCCUCACCUCAGGGUAACAAUCUUGACGAACAACUGUCUGAUCGUUUGUAUUCACAUACACCUCACACGAAGCUCUUCCCUGAUCAACAGUAAUGACCACAGUUAGAUAAUAUCAAAAUGAAGAAGUAAUAAACCACACCACAAUCACAAUCACAAUCACAAUCACAUCACAAACCAACUCAUCUCACCCUUACAUUUCACAUACAUUAGAUGUCAACUUAUCAGUUCGUGCUUCUACUUGUUCUAUUGUUUUUCGAUAAACAUCACACUUCCAUAGCCACAGCUAUACAUUCAUACAUGAGAAACCAUAUCAACUAGUUUUACUUUUUCUCUUUCACCAUUUCGUAUUAGCUUAGAAAGACAAUCGAAUCACCAACUCGAAUGCAGCUAAGCAAACAAAUUAUAGCACAACCAAAAGUUCACAUAUAACCAAAAUGCUUCACAAACCAAAACAGUAUCAAACCAAAAGCUUAUUUAUUAAUUGAGCUAUGAGCAGGUUUACCUUGAUCGGAAUUCUGAAGAAGAAUAGCCCAACGGUUCCAUCCACCACGGAAUCAGUAUCAAACGGAAUCUCACCCCUAGCCAAAUCCUCCAGCAAGUAAAACACGUCGUGAAUCACCUCCAGCCCAUCCACCACGAGCGUGGCGUUCACGUACGACGAGCCUCUCGCCCUCACGCGCCCGCCGUCGGAGCUCACAAACCCUAGCUCUCUCCCCCGGUACCCGAUUUUGACCACCAGCGAGUCGUACUCCAGAGAGAAGAAGUCGCGGUUACGCACCUUGAUGGUCAGCGAGAACGACGCGUCCAGAGUGAGCUUCGGCGACGAGUGCACUCCGACGUGGUUGAGCUGGAUCCGGGCGAGGCUGAGGGCCGGGUCGGACGGGAAGAGGAAAAACACGGCGGCGGAGAUGAAGAGGAACGCGGCGGUGGUGGAGACGCAGAGGCGGAAACGACGUCGUUCGAGGUAGUCGUCGCGAUAAGGGCGGUAGUGAGUUAAAACGACGACGUGUUGUUGGGGUUGGCCCGAAUCGGGGUUGGCCGGAAUCGGCGCGUAGAAUGCAGACUCGCCUUUCGAGCUCUUCAUGUUUUUCUUGGCGAGUCGUUUAAACGAUUUUGUCCAAAAGCUACGGCAUUUUAUACGUUUUUUAGAGUCUAAGGCGUGUGACGUGGCGAUAUUUUGGGUUGGUUCAUAGAGGCCCAAAACACGAGUUCUAAUUCAACUCUCUAAGGUAAAAUAGUCUGAAUUACCCCCAUGAGUUAUUUACGGAUAUGUGUUCCGAGUAGAGGUGGCAAACGGGCUGUUUAGCACGGGCACGACACGUUUAAAAGCGGCCCGGCACGGCUCAAGCCCGUUAACGGCCCGGCACAACCCGGCCCAAACAUAUUAUUCUAAUGGGUUGGGCUGGGCCCAGAAAAAUGAGCCCAUGGGCCCGGCCCGGCCCAAGCACGAUAAUAUGAGGCCCACAUCCCGGCCCGCUAUAAAAUAUAUAUAUUUUUUCCAUUUUUAAUAUAAAGAUAACAUAUUUAUAAAUAAUAAACUUAGUUUUGAGUGUGGACAAUAUACUUAUAUACUAAUAAUUAUUUAUUUGAGUAUGAAUUUGCAUUUCCUUAGACUCAUAAGAAGUUUUUGCCUAAAAAUUUAUUAAUUGUGAACAAUAAACAUUUAUCACUUAUUUCUUUAGUUUGUUAACAAAGAAAAAAAUGAUCAAUAGAUUGAGUGAAUUAAUUUUGGUUUGUAAUCGUAUCAUGUAUAAUCACAACUUUUAAUUAUGGUGGUGACUACUAUUUUCAAUUUUUAACUAUAGGACAUUCACCUCGAUCAUUUUCAAUUUUCGACACGAAACGGGCUUGACACGGCCCGUUCAUGGGCUCGGGCCGGCCCGGCCCAAGCACGGCCCAUCACGUUAUGGGCUUGGGUCGUGGGUCAGGCUGGGCCUUACAUUUGAGUAAAUGGGCCGGCCCGAGCCCGAGCCCUUUAAGAAGUAUCCCAUUGUGGGCCGGCCCAAGCACGGCUCGAAACCUGAUUAGAUGGGCCUGCCAGUUUGCCACCUCUAGUUUCGAGUUCCGACAUAUCGAACGAGUAUCGGAUCGUAUCCUGCUGUAUUAUGCCGUAUUCGAGUACAAAUUCUGAGGUAUAGUUUGGUAUUACUGUGACUUUAAAAAAAAAAAUCUGAUUAUGCUAUACAGCGAAAAUAAUUAGCUGUGAAUUAAAAUGAUUUUGUGUUUGGUAAAUAUUAGUUUUAAAAUUGCUACAAAAUCAAAAUAUAUUAAUUUCUAGUGUUUUUACGACAGCUGCUUCUAAAAUUAACCUUCAGGUUGUUUCUAAAAGCUGCUGCUAGUGACCUGUAAAAACUGUUUUUCUUUGAUUUACUAAACACUAUAAAAUUUAAAAGUUAGGAUAGAAACUGAUUUUUUUUUUAAAUAAAACUAUACCAAACGGGGCCCGAAUCCACAAAGCCGGAAAUGACGGUAAAUUGCCUGAAACGGCCCGAUACGUCCGGAUAUGUAUUUAUAAAUAAUAAAAUACGUGGGGGCAGUUUAGAUUAUACGUACUGGUGUUAGCAUCGGUUGCGAAAUCUGGGCCGUUGAGCUAGAUCACCCGCCACGGAUAUAAAAGGCCUCCAAAAAUCCCCAAAUUCGAAACCCUAGCUUUUCACAGUGUUGCCCAGAAAAUCUGAGUGUAGUGCGGCGAUGGAGAAAGGCGAGGCGGAGGAGAAAAGGCCGAUUUUCAGAGAUAUAAGGCGGUAUUAUUGCGAGUACUGCGGAAUUUGUAGAUCCAAGAAGACUCUGAUUGCUUCUCAUAAAUUAGCUCAGCACAAGGUUUGGUUUUUUGGAGCUGAUUAAAGUUUUGAUUUUUAUGAAUUGGGUGUUUGAUUUUGAAGGAGAUAGGGUUUUGCGUCUAGAUUAGAUUUUGAAAUUGAGUUGUUUCUGGAUUUGGAUCUGGGAAUUGGGAUUUAAAGUUGGGUUCUUUGUUUUUGUAGGAUGAGAUGGAAUUGGCAAAGGGUGAUGAAGUGGAGGUGGAUAAGUCUAAUACAUGUGAAGAAUGUGGUGCCAGUUUCAAGAAGCCUGCGUAUCUGAAGCAACAUAUGUUAAGCCAUUCCCUUGAGGUAUUGUGUUGAAUUUUGAUUGUCUAUAUGGUUUCAUGAGAAUUGGGUGUUACUAUCAGUUGGGUGUUACUCUUCUUGUGUGAAAGUUUUCGAGGAAAAGUAUCGGAUUGGCAGUGAAAUCAGUGGCAUCUUGUAUGAGAGUCUGAUGAUUGAUUUCGAAAGAGCUGAGAUUAUAGUAGUGUGUUUUGUUGUUGAAGUUUUAGUAUGUUUUGCAUUGAUUGAAGAUAAGAGUUUUUGCAGGAAUCAGCUUGUUUAAGAACUAUACCGUUUGGAUCGCGUGAAGCAUUGGAUCCCACCAAAGAACUCCAAAAUGCGAGAGGGUAUGAACUUGAAUGGACCAGUACCAGGGGGGAGACCUCCUGUGAAGCUCCGUCAAGUGAUCCUCAAUCACGCAGUGUUAGUAUUAAGGUUUGAAUGCUUGUUCAUGUACUUAGUAAACUGUGGUUGUCUGUUUGUGAUUUUCUUUUGUUUGUUGUACUUUUUUUUUCUGUAUUUGUUGCAACAAUUGAAGAUGUAAAUUUUGCAGGAAUUAGAACUUCUGAAAAGUAUUGUUUUGACGGCGUGAAGCAUUGGAUCCCAAACAAAGAACUCCAAAAUGCAAGAGGGUUCAGCUUGAGUGGACUAGUACCAGGGGGGAGACCUCCUGUGAAGCUCCAUCAAGUGACCCUCAAUCACACUGUACAGCUCCAGAUUUAAAUGCUUUUUCAUGCCAACGUUUAAGUUAUGGUUUUUCGUUCAUGAAUUCACUUCAGCUCGUUCUUUACAGAGGCCAUAUGUUUGCACAAUCGAUGAUUGUCGUUCUACUUAUAGAAGAAAGGACCAUUUGAACCGUCAUCUUCUUCAGCACCAAGGAAAAAUCUUUAAGUGUCCAAUUGAGAACUGCAAGAGUGAAUUUGCUUUUCAAGGUAACGUGAAGAGGCAUGUUGUAGAAUUUCACAGUGAGGAUUGCCCUUCUACUGGCGUUGAAGGUCAGAAGCAGCAUGUGUGCCAGGAACCUGGUUGUGGAAAGGUGUUCCAAUUUGCUUCGAAGCUGCGGAAACAUGAGGAUUCUCAUGGUAGGUGUUAUUUCUGAAUUCUAUCUCUUUUAGGUUCCAUUGUCUAUGGAAUCUCUUUUUGUCUGUGGUUGUUGAAUAUGGUAAGGUGACCUAUAUAAUAAACUGAUAGUCUCAAAUGAGGAGUUGUGGUGUUGCUCAGAGUUUUUUUGUAUGUUAAUGCUAACGCUGUCUCUAUUUCUGCAGUUAAGCUGGACUCAGUGGAGGCAUUCUGCUCUGAACCGGAUUGUAUGAAAUAUUUUUCUAAUAAGCAAUGCCUUCAGGAGCAUAUUCAGUCCUGCCACACUCAUAUCGCUUGCGAGAUAUGUGGGAAGAAGGUGUGGAAAAAGAACAUCAGAAGCCAUCUCUCUACUCAUGAAGAGGGAGCCUCUUCAUUGGAAAUUAAAUGUGAAUAUGAGGGUUGUCUUCACACAUUUACUAAAGUGAGUUGCUAAGAAGACUGUGAAACUAUUUACACGUUGAUAUGCUUGAUUUGACAAGCCUUGUUUGGUUUCUUAUGUUUCGUUGUUAUAUUUGCAGAAAUCAAAUCUUCUCCGGCAUGUGAAGGCUGUACACCUCCAACAGAAACCUUACGCGUGUAGCUUCUCAGGCUGUGGCAAGACAUUCUCAUACAAGCAUGUCAGAGAUAAGCACGAGAAUUCUGGAUGUCAUGUAUACGCCUAUGUGAGUGCCAUGUUCUUGGAGCAUUCAAUACCUCUUCUGCUGGAUUCUACAUAUUUUUUAUGGAUAACACAGUUGCAGACAAUCCCCCAUUAUGAAUCUCAUGUAUGUCAUCUGUUGGUUAUUGCUUUGAAUUGCAGGGGGAUUUUGAAGAGGCUGAUGAGCAAUUCCGGUCAAGGCCAAGGGGUGGGUGUAAGAGGAUAUGUCCUACAGUGGAAAUGCUUGUGCGUAAAAGGGUUACUCCACCAGAUCAAUUUGGCCCAGAGACAGAGUUCCUCUCCCAGUUAUUCUCGCAAGAAGAAGAUGAGCGCUGAGGCGUGCUCUAGUAGAGUUAAUAACCAUGGAAGUUGGGUAUUUUGAAUCUGCAAACUAGAUAUGUAUAGCUGCCUUUUGUAAUUAUUUAGAGAGUGGAUGACAGGACUUAUCCUGGGUUCUGUAAUCUUCUGAAAAUCUGUGGUUGGUUCGGCCAAUUCAUAAUACAAGCCAGCGAAGUUUUGACACAUCUCCUUUUGCCUACCGUGUCAAGUUAGUCUCAUAUCUUCAAUCCAGAGAGAAAUAAAGCUGCACAAUUAUAAAUGAGUAGCAAAUCCUCUUUGCUGUCAUCAACCUCGUAUCGAGACAAAUAACAGUCUCUUGUCAACUACAGCCUACUCGAAAAAACCUUGCAAAGUCAGUAGGCAAUGCUCAAGAAUAACUCGUGACAGUUCACCAUCACCAUUGUAGAAGAAGGGAUCUCAUCACCAAAGCUACUCAUGACAGCUCCAAGCAAAGAUUAUAUCAGAUGUAAAAAGAACAGGAACUACGCACAAGCCGAAGAGAUACACCAAUGAUUCUAUUAGGCAGUUUUUGAAACACUGAUUUGAAGAAAGAAAAAGUAAAGUUAACGAACUAUCCUAGAACUAGAAAAUACAGUACACAAAUAUUCAACUAAAUCAUAUAAAUCCAAGGAAGCAUGACUAUGGAUGGACUGUGACACAAAUGGAAGCUGUAUGUAUCAGCACGUAACUAUGGAUCCCGACCAUGGAAUAGUAUGAAAGAUUGUUUCUAAUUUUUCUUUUGGGGCCAAUGCCUUGUGGCUACUGAUCAUCCCCACUAAAUAUCAGGGUUUUCUAUCAUUACAAGCUAUAUGCCUUCUGGCCUUACAAAACUCAUCCCAAAUACUCCAUUAUAGUCCAGAGAAAAUAGAAUUACAAGAAAAAGGAAAGACAAUAGCCAAUAUUUGUCUCUAAUUAAUACUAAAAUUUGAGGUUUAUUAAUAAAGAUCGAAGAGCUAACAGUAAUAGAACAAUAGUGAUAACACUGUUUACAUUAUUCAUGAAACUGAAUACAUUGUUCAUGAGCUAUAGCGUGUAAAUAUAUCAGACACACAUGAAACGGCUUAACUGAUGAACAAACACAGAAACUCUAUAUCUGUAUCUAUUUGGCUUAUACAAUUUAUAUAGAAGGGUGCUAAUGAUGGAGAGGAAUAGCAAGUAAUCAACACCAACUUUCUUGCAAUCAAAGUACUUCAACCUGUUGAUCUUAAUUGUUUAAGUAGAGUGAUCAAGUACUGAUGUGGGAGAAGUCUGCGAGUUAUUGGCUGCAGGCAUGGACUUUGAGCGCUUCAUCCAAGCUGAGGAUGAGCGGGAACGAUGAAACCGGCACCGGAAUGAGCCUUGAUGUGUUGUUGGUGAGCACAAGCACUGCCCUCCUGAUGAUCCUUUAGGUGAUGGUGCUUCUGCAGUGUUGCCACUUUUCGGAGAAUUGAUUGACACACUCAUUUUAUUGUUACCAUGCUCGUGGGAUGCCAUGUUUAUCUCUAAUGAAUUGAGAAGAGAAGAAGAGAAGUAUGAGCCAGGAGAAGCUUUACUGUGGUGCAGUACUUAUUGGCAAGGCUAGCGUGGUGUGAAUGAAUGUAUAUAUAGGAGAAUAUAUCUAUAAUUUGACAAAGAAAAAAAGAGUUAUAUCUUCAAAGUUUGUGAGGCCAGAACAAGUUAAAAAACCAAUCAGUUGUACGUGUUCUUUGCUUGCUAGCUAUCUCCUCUCUUAAUUUGUCAUUUUGUCCCCGAUUUCUAUGUUUAGUGUAAGUCGGUUUUACACUCGAAUUAGCAUUUGGGUUAGUAAGAAAACAAUAUCAAUCAAAGAGUUUCACUCUGAACAACCUUGUCAGAUUGCAAUACAUCAAUAGAGAAUUGGCCUUGAAAGACAUUCUCAUGGAUAAGAUGUUUGUAAAAAUGCUUGAAAAUCUCUAAAUAUGAACUAUGCUGAAAGAGAUGCUCACAAAGUAAUGGAGAAAUUGUGCUGAAAUAGAUCAAAACAAUGACAAGGGCAUCUUGAGGCGUGGGAUUGUAGAUGAGGUUUCCAUGUGGAAUGAGGUAAGCUUUAUACAUCAGAUAGACAGAUAGUCCAUA
rnacentral:lncRNA from 1 species